AGUGAACGCUGGCGGUAGGCCUAACACAUGCAAGUCGAACGGCAGCACAGUAAGAGCUUGCUCUUACGGGUGGCGAGUGGCGGACGGGUGAGGAAUACAUCGGAAUCUACUUUUUCGUGGGGGAUAACGUAGGGAAACUUACGCUAAUACCGCAUACGACCUACGGGUGAAAGCAGGGGAUCUUCAGACCUUGCGCGAUUGAAUGAGCCGAUGUCGGAUUAGCUAGUUGGCGGGGUAAAGGCCCACCAAGGCGACGAUCCGUAGCUGGUCUGAGAGGAUGAUCAGACACACUGGAACUGAGACACGGUCCAGACUCCUAAGGGAGGCAGCAGUGGGGAAUAUUGGACAAUGGGCGCAAGCCUGAUCCAGCCAUACCGCGUGGGUGAAGAAGGCCUUCGGGUUGUAAAGCCCUUUUGUUGGGAAAGAAAAGCAGCAGGUUAAUACCCCGCUGUUCUGACGGUACCCAAAGAAUAAGCACCGGCUAACUUCGUG
rnacentral:rRNA from 1 species